rnacentral:rRNA from 1 species
AGAGUUUGAUCCUGGCUCAGAACGAACGCUGGCGGCGUGCUUAACACAUGCAAGUCGAGUGCGCGCCUGUAGCAAUACAGGUGGCGCACGGCGCACGGGUGCGUAACACGUGGGUAAUCUGCCCUCUGAUGGGGAAUAACCCGCCGAAAGGCGGGCUAAUACCGCAUAACAUUCCUUGGAUUUCGGUCCGAGGACUCAAAGGCGUAAGUCGUCGGAGGAGGAGCCCGCGCCCGAUUAGCUAGUUGGUAGGGUAAUGGCCUACCAAGGCUUUGAUCGGUAGCUGGUCUGAGAGGAUGGCCAGCCACACUGGAACUGAGACACGGUCCAGACUCCUACGGGAGGCAGCAGUGGGGAAUCUUGCACAAUGGGCGAAAGCCUGAUGCAGCGACGCCGCGUGGGGGAUGAAGCAUUUCGGUGUGUAAACCCCUUUCGAUCCGGACGAAUACCUCGCAAGAGGGGUGACGGUACGGAUAUAAGAAGCCCCGGCUAACUACGUGCCAGCAGCCGCGGUAAGACGUA